rnacentral:rRNA from 1 species
UUUCCUACGGGCGGCAGCAGUGGGGAAUUUUGGACAAUGGGGGCAACCCUGAUCCAGCCAUGCCGCGUGAGUGAAGAAGGCCUUCGGGUUGUAAAGCUCUUUCGGACGGAACGAAAUGGGCGGGACUAAUACUCCUGUCCGAUGACGGUACCGUAAGAAGAAGCACCGGCUAACUACGUGCCAGCAGCCGCGGUAAUACGUAGGGUGCGAGCGUUAAUCGGAAUUACUGGGCGUAAAGCGUGCGCAGGCGGUUUCGUAAGCUGGAGGUGAAAUCCCCGGGCUUAACCUGGGAAUGGCCUUCAGGACUGCGAGGCUAGAGUGCGGCAGAGGGAGGUGGAAUUCCACGUGUAGCAGUGAAAUGCGUAGAGAUGUGGAGGAACACCGAUGGCGAAGGCAGCCUCCUGGGCCAGCACUGACGCUCAUGCACGAAAGCGUGGGGAGCAAACAGGAUUAGAUACCCCAGUAGUCA